rnacentral:misc_RNA from 1 species
ACCACCCAUACACGCAUACACGCCUAUUCUUUGCUUCGCAUACGCUGGCCGGAGACGGACACGUGUGCGGGACCGUAUGCAUGUGCAGGUGUGUUAGCGAAUGGGGUGACGCACACAGAAGCGCACGCGCGCACUCAGACAAGCAUGACGUCAUCCCAGAGUGCCCUGUUGCGCACCCUCCAUGAUGCCAUCACCCACACCUUGCGCAAUGCCGACGAGGUUGCGGCACUAGUCGACGCCGCGGUGCAACUCUCCUCCUUACGCUAUCGACCCCUCGCAUCGUCGUGGGAUCUGCCGAAAUUGCUCUCGUCCGCGUUACGCACGCAGAUCAACACGCGCAUGCGCUCGUCUGCGGCAGUGGCGAGCAGCGUCAGCCCAGCCUCUCUGUGUCGCGUGCUGGCAGCGGCGUGGCGGCUGUGUCCGCUGGUGACGUUGCCGCUGCCUCGUGCAGCCGCCGACGGUUGCACCUCACCGACCAGCAUUGCUUUGCUUCUGUCGCUCAGCGAUGAAGACGUGGAACGGGUGGGACGGGAGAUUUCGUCGCUGGAGAACGCUCCGUGUUCUUCGAAUGCAGCAGAGCCGUCUGCUCGUGACACAGCAACCGCUGUUGUGACGUCGCUACUGCUCUACUGGCACAUGCUCUGCGCCGAAGCGCAGGAAGUCACUGCAGAGAGCGAGGAAACGUUUCGGCGGGUGUCAGCGACGGUGUGGCGGUGUCUGCAGCGCUGGGCCGCGGCUGACGGCUGUGAUGAGAUGCGCCGUGCACUCCUCAAAGCAUGGGUGAGUACAGUGCUGCGGCGCGCGCUAUUGUGCACGAGUGGCUUGUGCGUGAUGAGCGCUGUAACGCUGUUGGACACCGUCGUGCCGCCGAGCAUAGACACGACGACGCCCAUGGCUUUUGCCUCGUGCGAUCCGUCGAACAGUGGACUGAGCGAGCUGUGGGCAAGACUGCACCUGCGCGUCUGCCAACACGUCAUGGAGGACAUGCGCGCGCGUCAAGCCGCCUUCAGCGCAGAGUGGAGUCGCUCCGUCGUGCCGGUGCUCACUCGCGCUUUCGCGCAGGAGCCACCCUUGCUAUCCCCCUCCUUCACCAACGUGAUACAGUUUGCCGAACCGCUCGACACUUCGCUGGGUGAGCUGAUGCGUGUGGUCCACCGUAUGCGGCGGUGCGCGCUCGGUAGCAGUGCCACAUCGCAGGCGGUUGAUCUCGCCUCGUGUGUGAGUGCAGAUACCCUGGCCCCGCUCUUGUGUUUGGCGCGUCUCUCUCGAAGACUGGCCGAAGCGGGUGUACCGAUUGCGCCCUUUGCGACUGCCAACACGUAUCGCGCAUACGUGGCGCCGUUAAUCGCGGUGUCGCUUCGCUGGGGCCUCGUUGCAGAGGCAUGUGUGCUCCUGGAUUGGUUCGCCAGCGCGCUGGACGAUCGUGGAACGCAUUGGCAGCGGCGCCUGCAUCGAAUCCUGGACAGUCUUACACCAGACGCGUCCUCUGCAACGCCAGGGAACAGCUUGACAAGACUGCACGGACAAGAGGGCGGUCUGCCAUACUUCGAGUGGCUUGAAGAGCUUCAGUGCACCUCCUCAACGGCUCUGGACGUGCUGGCCACUUGCGAUGAUGUCAGGCAGCUGCGGCCGGUAUGUGACGCCCUUCUGCGCCACCGCCCUGCGGAGUGGGCCACGGAGGUACUCCAGGACCCGUUUGCCCCAUUCUUUAUCCUUAGCGGAGUCACGCGCCUGAUUGAGGCACUACUGCAGGCCCGCGAUGCUCCGCUGGCACGCUUCUACGUGACUCUGCUGGGGCGCCUCCUUCCGCGUUGCCCCUGCCCGACACAACUCCAAGUAUUCCUGCGCGUUGUGCACCGCCUGGCCACCGUGCUCACCACCACCCACCUCUCCGCUGCAGACUACGCGGCUCCAGACAGCCUCUACGGAGCGGCCUUGGCAAGGUGGCAACGUCUGAAGACCGCCCUAGAGCACGUGGACGCAGAGCUCUCCGACGCGGACGGCGCGGACGGCUCAAGGCAUGUUGACUGGCCACGGCAGAACACCGCGGGUCUUGCGUGGGACGCUCGGAAGCAUCUUCAAUGUUUCUGCGCGCCCAGAAGAGUAGAGAACGUUCGCACCGCCGCCUCUGCUCAGAUCACGCCCCAAUCCCCAGCUGUCGCCCUGGGCACCGUUGUGGUGCUCUGCUACGUCCCCGCCGGCUCGCAGAGUGAAGGGGAGGGGCUGCUGUGGCUCCGGCGCACUCGGGCCAGCGCCACGUGUCCCUCAGGAGAGCAGCGGGUGCAGGACCAGCAGCUGCUCAGCCUAACGGCGCGCUGCCCUGUGGGGGGAGCGCUGAGGUCAUGUGCAGCUGAGAUGGCAGACGUGAUGAACCGAAACCGAGCACAACUGAUGCGGGGCGACGCAAGCGCAGUCGGGGAGACGGGUCGGUGCCUUGACAGCCAAGGCUCACGUGAACUCGCCGCAAGCACAAGCUGCGCGUGCCAGCAAGCAAGCGACGGUACCGCGGCGCCGAUCGAAACGGAUGCUCAGCGACAGCGACGGCGCAAGGAGGCGUGGUGGUGUGAACGGUUCGAGCUUGACGAUCGUAUUGGCCGGGUCGCAGCGUCCAUGCAAGAUGCCCUCGGCGCGGCGCAUAUGCUGCUGCUCGGCGACCCCAGUUCCUCUCUCGGUGGCCAGCUGCAAACACUGGCAGCGCGUUUUGCUUGCGAGUGUGUGCGCCUCCGCGGUGCCAGUCACUGCCCUCCUGUGGAGGCCUUGCAGCACGUCACUCUGCAAGUUCUUGCGGCGGCUCCGUACCUGUGGAAAGAUAAGACACCGCCUCGUGGGCAGACCACGUGCUGGUACGGCCCCCGCAACGCACGCAGUUGCGCGUGCUGUAUGCAGACAGUGAAGCGCGCGCAAAGGAUGCUGCUCGAGGCGGUCACGGCUCUGGGGCAGUUGGUCACUGCCGCCACAGCAGCAGCGAUGGAGUCCUCUUUGUCGUGUGCACUCGCUAGCGAGCCCGCGAACGUGGAGGAAUGCUGGCUGGCGCUGUUGGCGGAUAGGUCGGUGCAGGGUGUUGUGGAAGAAAUGGUGCCGGCUGUGUUGAACGCGUACUACCGCGAGCUCACCCCAGACGCCGCCGCGAACGCUCCGCGUGAUGAUGAGGAGCGCGGCCACCACCAUGCGGACUUGCUCCUUGUCUCACGCGAGCACGUGUACCUGGUGCUGGACGGAGAGCUGCACGCGCUGCCUUGGGAAGCUCUGGGUGUGUGCCAAGAGCGUAGCGUCUCUCGCGUGCCAUCGCUCGAAUACCUGAAGUACUGCAGCACCGACGCGUCGGCCGUAUCCCUGCAGCGCUUGCUUGUCUACCGCGAUGACGCGGCGCUGCAGCACGGCCCCUCCAGCCUUACGGAUCUCAUCACGCAGCACCCACAUUGGGAAGUGGUCUACGGAGAAACGCUGCAGGCAGCAACUGCGGCGGCACGAGACGGCAGCAGCGCCGUCACAUCGCCGCUAAUGCGCCGCCUCCUCUCCCAGUGUGAGGCGGCGAGCGAUCGCAUAGACACGUAUGUGUACGCUGGUCACAAGGGCGGGGAGCACGUGGCCCCUCGCGGAGCACUGUACGACUGGAUUCCCGCUGCAGCCGGCACACCCCCGACGCUGGUGCUGCUGAUGGGCUGCAGCUCUGCUCGCAUGCAGGCCAGCGCGCUCUACGACUGCUUUGGCCUGCCCUUCGCAUACCUCAGUGCAGGCGUGUCGUGCGUUCUGGGUUGCCUGUGGGACGUCACGGACGCCGACAUUGACCGCCUCACGGGUCGCUUUCUCCAAGUGGCCAGUCAGACGACGGCGGACGGCGAAGGCAUAACCGUCGGGGAGUGCCUGGCGGUGGCGCGCCGGGCCUGCAAGCUGCAGUACCUGACAGGCAUGGCCACCGUCUUCUAUGGCGUGAACUGUUACGUGACGGCUGCGAGGGAGGACAACAGCAAGGGUGCUGCGUGAUGGGCAGUGGCGCUGCUUCUUUCUCUUCCUCUUUCUCUCCUCAGGAAUGGGCCCGGCGAUGUACGUGCGCGUGGGUGUCCGGCAUGCCUUGCGCCCCCUCCCUCUGCACCGGUGCUGCGUGAACGCGCGCACACACGCACACCCCUGCAUGCCAUGGCGGUGAUGAUCAGUGCUUUGCCCGUCAGCUCGUUUGUGCUGCUCUUCUCUCUGGUAGAGCUCAUCCCGCCCCAUCGAGCAUCUGGUGCACAUGUGCAAUUGGUGCCUCUUUCUGUGUCUGCGUAUGCGUGUGUGUCUCCGCUUCGUGCCCCCUCCUCCUCCUCCUCUUCCUCGCCCCCUUGUUUUUCCUCACCAUCUUCGAUGCAUCAUUGGAACAGGCAACAGCACUGACGGCGUCAAACGAGGGGCUCACAUGUAUGGCAACGAGGUGCGUGUCAUCGCAGGUCAUUGGAGUAUAAAGGUCGUGCUUCUCCACCUCUGCCGCCAGUCCCUCAGUGGGGCUCCUCAGCGGCAGCGGUGCGCGAGUCUUCGUCUGUGCGCACACAACAGGGGAGAGGGUAACACUCACACAUGCACCAUCGUGACUUGUCUCGUUUUCUUUUCAGCGUCGUCUGUACAACACAUUUCAGAACACGUCCCCGUCUCUCUCGCUUCCCUGCCCUUUAUCCUGGCACCGCAG